AUGUCCAAUUUCUUGAUUACCUUCAAAUUUGCUAACCUUUUCUUCCAACGAAAUCGCACCUUCAUCGGAACUCUCUCAAACUCAAAAGCAAAACUCCUAACCACAAGCUCUGGCCAAAACCACACAAAGAAGCCGCAAGACCGACUUCCUCAGCAACCCAAAUCUCAAGCCGGAGAUCGCGUACCUCCUACCAAAUCCCACCUCCGCUCGCCACCGAAAUUACGCUUGAGCUCCAUCACCAUUGCAGCAAAUAACAUUAUUAAUUAA